rnacentral:rRNA from 1 species
GACGAACGCUGGCGGCGUGCUUAACACAUGCAAGUCGAAGCGGUAAGGCCCUUUCGGGGGUACACGAGCGGCGAACGGGUGAGUAACACGUGGGUGACCUGCCCUCAGCUCUGGGAUAAGCCCGGGAAACUGGGUCUAAUACCGGAUAUGACUCCACGGUGCAUGUCGUGGGGUGGAAAGCCUUGUGCGGCUGAGGAUGGGCCCGCGGCCUAUCAGCUUGUUGGUGGGGUGAUGGCCUACCAAGGCGACGACGGGUAGCCGGCCUGAGAGGGCGACCGGCCACACUGGGACUGAGACACGGCCCAGACUCCUACGGGAGGCAGCAGUGGGGAAUCUUGCGCAAU